AGUGAACGCUGGCGGUAGGCCUAACACAUGCAAGUCGAACGGCAGCACAGUAAGAGCUUGCUCUUACGGGUGGCGAGUGGCGGACGAGUGAGGAAUACAUCGGAAUCUACUUUUUCGUGGGGGAUAACGUAGGGAAACUUACGCUAAUACCGCAUACGACCUACGGGUGAAAGCAGGGGAUCUUCGGACCUUGCGCGAUUGAAUGAGCCGAUGUCGGAUUAGCUAGUUGGCGGGGUAAAGGCCCACCAAGGCGACGAUCCGUAGCUGGUCUGAGAGGAUGAUCAGCCACACUGGAACUGAGACACGGUCCAGACUCCUACGGGAGGCAGCAGUGGGGAAUAUUGGACAAUGGGCGCAAGCCUGAUCCAGCCAUACCGCGUGGGUGAAGAAGGCCUUCGGGUUGUAAAGCCCCUUUGUUGGGAAAGAAAAGCAGCAGGUUAAUACCCCGCUGUUCUGACGGUACCCAAAGAAUAAGCACCGGCUAACUUCGUG
rnacentral:rRNA from 1 species